ACACUGUUACCGGAAAAAUCUGAGGGCUCCCUUGGACAAAAAGUAAAGACACCAACCAGAGUAAAUUGAAGCAAAUCAGCAGCCUGUAGGCUUGGUCUUUAUUGAAGAAAGACUGUCGCGACAGGGUGCUCCCCUCACUUGCAGUCCAUGCUGAAUCCACUCCCAUAUGCAAGUUCUUUGUGAUCUUGAUUGUCUUCUGUCUGGGAUCAUCAGGGUUGGCAUAGCAACUGGGCAGGGCUCCUGUGGAUGUGCUGAGACGGUGAAGGGAUUAUGGCUGACCAGGACCAAGCCACCCCCCUUUGAUAGUUCUUGUCAUAUGGAGUAAAAUAAAAUGGAACAGUGCAAA